CUCAGCUUCAGGAAGCCCUCUCUCAUAGGAAGAGAUACUGAUCCAGACAGAAGAAGGCCAGAGUUCUGCCCAGCUAUGGAAACUCCCUCUCCCUCAAAUAUGGGACUGGGGUUCAGACAUGUUCUAAACAGCACCAGUAGCUCAUGGAAAAUGCAGAUCCAAAUAGAGACUAGAAAGUCAGAUCUUCUAGAGAUGACAACAGACUAAUAACCUUAACAGAAUCAGAAGCAAACGAUGAUUUGGGACACGCUGGUUUUAUCCCUCAAAACUGUUCCUCAUACAGCUCCUUCAGCCACCUCAGAGCCUCUGUCUGUUCUCUGGGUCACCCGAUCAACAAGUGGACUAUUGCAAAACCAACUGGAAUGUGUAAGGACUUUUAAAGAGUUUCUGCCAUCUGCCACAGCUCUUCUCCACAGUUCAUGAGAGAAAACAAAGCAGUCUCCGCAGGAGUUUUUGGGCCUCCCCUUUUGCUGACUUCAUUCCAAACUACCCUUGGAGAUGCAACAGAGCAAACUGAGUAAUCAACAUGCUUUGAAAAACAUUACUUGUGAUCAUUUCAUCAAGUGGCAGCACACUGCUCUUCAAUGAAUGGAAACAAGCAAAGAUGGAUCACUUUGAAAACAAUGAAGUUAUGAGUUAGAUUAGGCUGUGUGGAUUGAAUCCUGGUAUUCCAUUUCAGCUGUGGAGGCACAAACCCACAAAACAGGCGGCUGGAAAGGAAGAUCAUGUGGCCGAAGCCCCGGGGUUCCUGGUGAGGUGCGAAGCCCUCAGAGGCCGAGAAGUUUCAUAGACAAGAGAAAGCUCACCUGUCUGCUUGACAUCUCUGAUUCUCUACAAAUGGCUUCCUGUCGACAAAGGAAAACACACCAAGGAGGAUGUCUGGCUAUGAAGACACAAGCAAGGAAAAAGAUCAUGGAGCCAACCCACCAUGAGCAGGGGGAAAAGACUCGCCUUCCCCUGAAUCACUGCAGAAGGCAAUGCCAAGCCUCUAAGUGAGCACUGAGGCUCACCUGAUCCAUCGUUUCUCCUUUAUAUCCCAAAGCCUUUCCACAUUGGUUCUAGCUCAGACAUUUUUCCUUGUCUCUUACUUUCCUAUCUAAUCUGGUAGGAUGCCACAUUCUCCUCCCCAUUUUAAAGAAUAAAUUUAUACUAUAUAUGUAUAUAUAUGAAUAAUUAAUUAUAUCUGUAUGUAGAUAUAAAGUAGAUGAAUAAAUUAAAAAU